rnacentral:rRNA from 1 species
UGGGGAAUAUUGCGCAAUGGGGGGAACCCUGACGCAGCCAUGCCGCGUGAAUGAAGAAGGCCUUCGGGUUGUAAAGUUCUUUCGGUAUUGAGGAAGGUUGAUGUGUUAAUAGCACAUCAAAUUGACGUUAAAUACAGAAGAAGCACCGGCUAACUCCGUGCCAGCAGCCGCGGUAAUACGGAGGGUGCGAGCGUUAAUCGGAAUAACUGGGCGUAAAGGGCACGCAGGCGGUUAUUUAAGUGAGGUGUGAAAGCCCCGGGCUUAACCUGGGAAUUGCAUUUCAGACUGGGUAACUAGAGUACUUUAGGGAGGGGUAGAAUUCCACGUGUAGCGGUGAAAUGCGUAGAGAUGUGGAGGAAUACCGAAGGCGAAGGCAGCCCCUUGGGAAUGUACUGACGCUCAUGUGCGAAAGCGUGGGGAGCAAACAGGAUUAGAUACCCUGGUAGUCCACGCUGUAAACGCUGUCGAUUUGGGGGCUGGGGUUUAACUCUGGCGCCCGUAGCUAACGUGAUAAAUCGACCGCCUGGGGAGUACGGCCGCAAGGUU